AUGGAGGAAUACAUCAAAUAAUCCAGGAGCUGUGAAUUAUAAAUAUGGAUGACUGCAAAAGCAAAGAAGAAGAUAAUGAAACAAACUGAAAAAGUGUACACGUUUCCAGAAUUAUUAAUAAAAUUGUUGAUUACAA